ACCAUCAGUGGCAAAUCACCAUUCUAUGCCUUUUUUCAGCAGAUUAUGAAAGAGGUGAAGGAAGAAAUGGUUGAUGAUGACACAGGGUUGGCAACAGAAGACAACCCAUACUUUUGUCCAGGCAUUCUCACAGUCCUCUUUGAUAUGUACCUUGCUAUCUUUCCUCUUUGGAGUGGCUUGCUGUUGGGAGACCUGAUGGAUGAAUGUCAUGAACAGUACAUGGAGACAACAAAGAAACAACCAAAAACAAGAGAUGCCAACUGUCACAUUGAAAGGUGGUUUGGAAUUGUCAAACAUUCCAUAAUGCAUAAAGAAAAAAAGUCAAACCAGGGACCUUCAUAAGAAAAAUGCACAAGUCUCUACAAGCGAGGUAUACAGAGCAUAUCAUCAAGCAUGAACUUCCUCAAAAGCUUUUGCGGCAACCUGAGGCACCUUUGAACCUUGAUCAAUCUCAAGAAACUUGGAAGAAGAAGGAAGACCGUUUCCCAUCCACCGAAUCCAAAUUCUUUUCUGUUCCACAUAAAAUACCUGCUCCCCAAAAAGAGGAUCAAGAAGGAUGUGGAAGUGGAAACUUCAAGUUCUGAUGCAUGUCAGCCUCCUGCAGAUGGACUCCAUGUAGAUGAACAGAUCCAGAUACUAUUGAAGAAGAAGGAACAUACAGAGCUGCUAGUUGUUGUAAUUGUUCAGUCUCCUAGCCAGGAUCUCGAGUUCCUUUUACAUCACAAGGAAUUCAAUGCACUGAGGCCACAUGAAUGGUUAUUUGGAGAGACUAUUGAGUGCUAUUUCAGAACUGUACUUAAUAAGGAGGAUGCAAAUCUCUACCAGCUAAGCCA